rnacentral:rRNA from 1 species
GAGCGGGCCCUUCGGGGUCAGCGGCAGACGGGUGAGUAACACGUGGGAACGUACCCUUUGGUUCGGAAUAACGCUGGGAAACUAGCGCUAAUACCGGAUACGCCCUUUUGGGGAAAGGCUUGCUGCCGAAGGAUCGGCCCGCGUCUGAUUAGCUAGUUGGUGGGGUAAUGGCCUACCAAGGCGACGAUCAGUAGCUGGUCUGAGAGGAUGAUCAGCCACACUGGGACUGAGACACGGCCCAGACUCCUACGGGAGGCAGCAGUGGGGAAUAUUGGACAAUGGGCGCAAGCCUGAUCCAGCCAUGCCGCGUGAGUGAUGAAGGCCUUAGGGUUGUAAAGCUCUUUUGUCCGGGACGAUAAUGACGGUACCGGAAGAAUAAGCCCCGGCUAACUUCGUG